rnacentral:rRNA from 1 species
GUCUACAGCCAUGCUACUCUGAACAAGCCCAAUCCCAUCUGAUCUCGGAAGGUAAGCAGUGUCGACCCUGGUUAAUACUGGGAUGGGAGACCACCUAGGAAGACCAGGUGCCGUAGGCG